ACACACCCUCCAUCACACACUUUCGCCCACCGUCAUUCUUCUCUGCCACAAGUAGUUCUGUGAAAAAUGCUCCGCUGAUUGGCAGCAGAAAAAAAAAAAAAAAAAAAAAAAAGAAACCGUGUGGUGCAGAGAGCUGGGAGACAUCGUUGGAUCGCAAUGGUUUGAGCUUGGGGAAGGAAGAUAGGAGGACAGGAGUAGAAAGUUCAGCCGUUGCACCUUUGAGGGACCGCGUCAAGUGUUUCUUGUGAGGAAAGUGGAUGGAAGAUUGGAACAGAGGGGGGAAGCUUUCACGCGGCGGCGGCGAGGACGUGAGGGUUUUUCAGAGAUGGACUUGCUGUUAUGGUUCACAUCAUUUUUCUGCUCCAUAACCCAUUAUAUAUUAAUUCUUCCAUAGGAUUGUCUGGUGGACAGCAGAAUUCAUGGUUCCGUCUAUUACAGUAAGUAACCUGAUACUGAAGUGCCACAUUACCAUCAACAGGUUUGACUUUAGGAAUUAUCGCCUUUUUUGUAAGCUUGUAUGAGUCUUAUGCCAACUGUAAUGGAUUGCAUACCUACCAAAAAGUUUCCCUUUUCUCUUUUUAGCCCACAGAGCAUUAGUCCAAAAAGCCUUUGUGAUCAUGAAGAUAUGUUGUGGCUAGACCUUUUUGGUCAACAUUGGUUUUCUCCUUGCAACUCCCGAUAGAUACCAUUUGUUUUUUUCUCAGUUUAAUCAUUGAAUCAUGAAAACUGCCAUCAACUACAGUGAGUAAGGUCAGCAGUACUUUAGAUCUUUGGAUUUCUCAUCUUCCAGGAUGAAUUGUUUAUUUGGUGUUGGAGUAGAGGCUGACAUUUUGUUGGGAUUGCCGUGGGAUACGAGUUAACUUUAAUAAUACUCCUGAUUCGAACAGUACGAGAUAAAAAGUUAGAGGGAGCAGACGGGAGCAAGAACCAGUAUUGAUUUAUCUAAUUGAUGUAUAAUUAAAAGUAUUUAUCAACAGAUUUGAUCGAACGUAACAAUAAAUGCGACCUGUUGGUUUAUUUUCUUGUAAUCUCCCUUGGCUCUCUUCGACCCUCUCCGCCCCUCCCCUCACCGUUGACCAAAGUAAGCACACUUAGCUGUUUUGCUGGCCGGAGCUGGAGUCACAUUGCGUCUGUCUGUGAAAAUGGAUGAGAUAAACCACAAAAACACAAGGAGGGAGCAGAGAAGCUGAGAGUCUCCAGGAGGACACAGCAAAUUGUACCAAAAUUACAGAUAGGUUUGGUGCAACAAGUGCAACUGCAGCAGCGGGAGCACGACUGUCAACAUCAGAUGCUGAAGCUGUCCUAUUGAGUGAGCAGGCUGUCGGGAUGAUAAACAGCAGUAACAGAAGAAAGAGGAUUCAGAGGAGGAAAGAGAGAGAGACGUGACCCAGUGGGGACAGAUUGAGAAGGAGGUUAGAAUAGCUCCUAACAGCAAGAAGUAGCCGAAUACUUUACAACUAGCAGAUUGAACUAUGAAUACCCUGUUCGUCUCACAAGGAUUUCUUUUCUCUGUUACAGCAGCAUUGGUAAGUGAUAGAGAUUAAGUACUGGCAUGCAGUGAUAGAGAAUGUAUUUCCAUGAAAUAUUCCUGCUAUAAGAAGACGAUAUGGGUCAGAAUUAUGUCCAACAUAAUGCAACAGACAGAUGUUUCACGUGUGUGGGUUAUACCUACUAACUGUACAUAGCUUUAGAUGUAAUACUUAAAAUUAGAUGAUCAGACGGACAAAAAUAUAAGGUCAUGUGCAAAUUAUGGUAUUUAUAGACAAACAAAAAAAGUAAAAAGAGCAUGAUUACAAAAUAAAUUCAAGCAGAAGACAUUCUUAAAAAACAAGCAGAGACAAAAUUUGGAAUGUCGCCAUAAUAUUUUAGGUUUUUUACAUUUUUACAUAGUGGCAGGUUGAUUUGCAGGAUCCUUUGCCUUCAGUUAUUUGAAUAAGCAUUUAAAAGCUUAUCCUUUAUUGUCUUUGUACGUUUGAUAGUGAAUUUCCUGUAAUGGUAUGAAAAACCUACGUGUCAAAAAACACAAAAACUCUGGAAAUUUGAAAUGGGUUGAAUAUGGAAUAGUUUGCUCUGUAGCCCCUAAAUGGGGAUUUACAACAUGUUCCUUCCCUUCUUAAAACUGAGACAUGAGCGCAAUGUAAAAAAGCAUUUGAAGAGCUAUAAAAAGUCACAAUUUCAAAGCCUUAAGGGCAAUGCUUAAGAUUUUAGAAUUUUUGAUUUAUAGUAUCAAGACUUUUUAUAUUUAUGAAAACAUCAAAGCAAACUUAGGACUGUGUGUUAAGAAGAACUUAUAAAGAGAUUCAGAAUAAAUAACCUGCUUAUGGAAACAAAAUCCACAAUUUAGGACAUUUUAUGAGCUUUAAACCGACCUCAAAGAUGCCAGAGUUGCCGUCUGAGAAUGUACCGUACACUGUUAAUUUACCCAGAACCUAGAGAAAAAAACAGAAGGCUGCACUGUUUAAAGUUUAAAGGAUGGAGCAAGACUGAUAGCUGUUGUACAGAAAGUUUAGAGAUAAUUCUUAUUUCUGCUGUGACCCUGUUUUAUAGACAGAGGAGGCCAAAGAACAUUUUCUUCAGUAAUGCAGUGCCUGUGUUUGUAAAAAAAUAAAUAUGUGUGAUGGCAGAGAGGGGCUGUGGUUAUUGCUUUCUUGCCCCACAGCAAGAAGUUCAUUAGUCUGAGUUCCAGCUAGGCUUCCUUCCUUCUGCAUGUUUGUGAUGUGCAUUCUCUUUGGGUGCUUUGCUUUAUCUCUACAAUCCAAAAGCAAGAAUGUCAGCUACAAAAAGAAUAAUCUAAAUUGCCUUUAGUAUGAUUAUGUGAAGGAGGGGAUCCUACAAUUACACAUUGUCCAUUAUAACAUUAGUCACCAUGGACACUGAACACAGACUGCUGAACGGACAUUAUUGCCGACCACUGACAUCUUAGGCAGCUCCCGCCACUGCGUGGCUUUUCCCCUACGAAGAGCUGUUUGAUCUCCUACAUCAAAAGCAGUAGUUCUCAAACCACUUAUGACAAGUACCACCUUAAGAAAAUAUUAAGUACCACAGCAAUAACCGCAGUAUUAAAACAGCAGUGCAACAGGACUUGAGUUCUUUCCUCAAUUUGUUAGAGUUUGUCCUAGAAAUAAAAAAAUCAAAGAAUUUAGAAAAAAACAAUUAAGUUGCCAGUGAAACCAGUGAUGCUUUUGAUGUACAACAUAUUCAAUACAUAAAAAGAAUCAUAGCAGCUAUCUAUUGGUCAGAAUUAUGUCCACUUAGAUUUAGCUAUUCAGUAUUUUGCAUGUUAUAUACCAACAUUUGUAUCUGCUGUAUGUGCUAUUGAUACUCUCUAUCUAGUAUCUGCUUGAUAUUAAAAACACAGAUUAUUUAUUUAUGUAAUUGUGAAUGCAUUCAGCGAGUAAGGAUUAAAUUAUGUGUACCAUCUGUAGACAGGAACUGAAAUUUACAUAGCCAGAAUUGCAAAAAAACAGCAGCAAGUUGUCAUUCCAAGUGAUAAAGUUUUAGUUUCUCACAAACCAAGAUAAAAAAAAAACUCUACAUGUAGUUAUAAUUACCAAAAUGAACUUCAUAUUUGCACUUUUGUCAGUUUUUAUACAUCAGCUGUAGCACUGUAUAGCCCAUUUCAAAAUGCUGAUACAUAACUUGUUAAAGGCCUGAGGAAAUUCUAAAGGUUUUCCAUCUUUGAACUGGAACAGGGCUAAACAGAGUAAAAUUGUGUUGCAAGAUCUACCUUAGGACCAAAUGCGAAUAAUACUUAGUGUAUGUACUUCACCAUGACUUGUUCCUGAGUUAUCAACUUGAGUUUCUUCUGUCUCUUCUAUCAAAAUAUACUGAAUUUGAAUUGAUGAUUGAUGUCCUUUUAAAAUGUGCACUUCUGAGCUUAUUCUUCUAUCGCAUGGUUUAAACCACAAGGAUGAUGUUGCUUCAGCAUGUAAACACCUGGAAAAAAAUUCAGUUGAGUGUCAGUUGGGUAGUCCAAAUUUUACCAAUGUCAUUUCUAAACAAAAGCACUUCAUCAAUAUAAGGAAAACACUAAUUUGUUUAAUUUAAUGUUUUUAUUUAUUACAGUUACUUCACUUAUUGGUAUGUAAAAUGUGUUGGUAAUUGCAAUAUCAGAUUAAUCCAAAAAGCAUAAAAAUAACU